UGACUCGUUUACAAAAAAAUGACAAGAAAAUUCUACGAUCUCUAGACAUUGCUACAUCUAUAGCAGUUCUCGUAAACGCUUGGUCAAAUAAUGAUGACUGGAAAAACAUCGAUAGUACUUACACAAACAAAUCUAUUGGAGAGGGAAGAGUGGAUUGCUCAAUCAACCUAAAAAAGUUUGUCAAGACCUUAAAGAUUGGAAAAACAUGGUAUCGAUGCAAGUAUUUCAAACUACAAACUGAUUCUCUAUUUUACCGUAAUAUUUGAUGUAACGUCUGUCAUUAUCUUCUUAACACGUCUCGCAUUUUGGUCACAGACCUUACGUAAAAUA